CCUACGGGUGGCAGCAGUGAGGAAUAUUGGUCAAUGGGCGUAAGCCUGAACCAGCCAAGUCGCGUGAGGGAUGAAGGUUCUAUGGAUCGUAAACCUCUUUUAUAAGGGAAUAAAGUGUGGGACGUGUCCUGUUUUGUAUGUACCUUAUGAAUAAGGAUCGCCUAACUCCGUGCCAGCAGCCGCGGUAAUACGGAGGAUCCGAUCGUUAUCCGGAUUUAUUUGGUUUAAAGGGUGCGUAGGCGGCAUUUUAAGUCAGCGGUGAAAGUCUGUCGCUCAACCAGAGAAUUGCCGUUGAAACUGGGAGGCUUGAGUAUGUUUGAGGCAAGCGGAAUGCGUGGUGUAGGGGUGAAAUGCUUAGAGAUCACGCAGAACCCCGAUGGCGAAGGCAGCCUGCCAGGCCAUGACUGACGCUGAUGCACGAAAGCGUGGGGAUCAAACAGGAUUAGAUACCCGAGUAGUC
rnacentral:rRNA from 1 species